GGACGACGUCAAGUCAUCAUGGCCCUUACGGGAUGGGCUACACACGUGCUACAAUGGCAAAUACAAAGGGUUGCUAACCUGCGAGGGUAUGCGAAUCUCAUAAAGUUUGUCGUAGUCCGGAUCGGAGUCUGCAACUCGACUCCGUGAAGUUGGAAUCGCUAGUAAUCGUGGAUCAGAAUGCCACGGUGAAUACGUUCCCGGGCCUUGUACACACCGCCCGUCACACCAUGGGAGUGGGCUGCACCAGAAGUCAUUAGCUUAACCUUCGGGAUGGCGAUGACCACGGUAUGGUUCAUGACUGGGGUGAAGUCGUAACAAGGUAACCUUAAUUAAAAA
rnacentral:rRNA from 1 species